AUUGAACGCUGGCGGCAUGCUUUACACAUGCAAGUCGAACGGUAACGGGUUAAGCUGACGAGUGGCGAACGGGUGAGUAAUGCAUCGGAACGUGCCCGAUCGUGGGGGAUAACGCAGAGAAAGCUGCGCUAAUACCGCAUACGAUCUGAGGAUGAAAGCGGGGGACCGUAAGGCCUCGCGCGAUCGGAACGGCCGAUGUCAGAUUAGGUAGUUGGUGGGGUAAAGGCUCACCAAGCCAACGAUCUGUAGCUGGUCUGAGAGGACGACCAGCCACACUGGGACUGAGACACGGCCCAGACUCCUACGGGAGGCAGCAGUGGGGAAUUUUGGACAACGGGCGAAAGCCUGAUCCAGCAAUGCCGCGUGCAGGAAGAAGGCCUUCGGGUUGUAAACUGCUUUUGUACGGAGCGAAAAGGCUCUCUCUAAUACAGGGGGCUCAUGACGGUACCGUAAGAAUAAGCACCGGCUAACUACGUGCCAGCAGCCGCGGUAAUAC
rnacentral:rRNA from 1 species